UACGUAGGGUGCGAGCGUUGUCCGGAAUUAUUGGGCGUAAAGGGCUCGUAGGCGGUUUGUCGCGUCGGGAGUGAAAACCAGGUGCUUAACACCUGGCUUGCUUUCGAUACGGGCAGACUAGAGGUAUUCAGGGGAGAACGGAAUUCCUGGUGUAGCGGUGAAAUGCGCAGAUAUCGGGAGGAACACCGGUGGCGAAGGCGGUUCUCUGGGCCUGUACUGACGCUGAGGAGCGAAAGCGUGGGGAGCGAACAGG
rnacentral:rRNA from 1 species